GUAGUUAACCAAAACAUAUUGCUGGGCGAUGAUAUAACCACGAAUACGAGUGAUAAUGGUUUGAAGUAAAGGCUCAAGUUCAGAAGAACAAUUGCUGGACCGCACCAACACAGCACUGGUAGACAUGACAGUUUCAAUGGGCUUCAAGCCAGAUGCACGCAUUGUCUCACCAGACUCCACUAGAUCGACGACAGCAUCGGCAAUACCUAAAGCACAUGAGGCUUCGACACUACCAGAAACAAAGCUAAUCUCAGUUUUUAUACCAGAGUCAACUUUUCCUUCACUCUUCGCUUUCUUCUCGACCUUGUCGAAAUACUCGGCAACCAAGUAUUCAAAAGAUGUGACAAUUCGGCGUCCAACGAGUUGGUCAACGCUAGUGAUAUCUCCAGACUCAGGUACCUGGACUUGUAACUUGCAACCACCAAAUUGAAGAUCAACCAACUCUUCUAUUUUAAGCUUAUCGCCAAUACGAAGACGUGCUUCAGCGAUUUGAUCUUGACCAGUGAUUCCGAGGUGGACACGACCUGUACCAACAAAACGAGGGAUAUCGGCAGCAGGAAGGAAAACCAGAGCGAUUGGCAGAUUUUGUACUAAGGCAAUGUCCAAACGAGGAUUUCGACGAAACUUAAUAUCAGAUCCCUUUAAGACAUUCACGCAGGAUUCGUACAAACGACCCUCUAUGCAUAUGAGUCAGUAUGUAUAAUAACUAUAAGGCAAAACGCAUGAAGACACAUUAAUCUCCCGAAAUAUCUAAAGUCCAAUCAAUUUUAUAGAUCCUUGAUUUUGGACAGAUGUAAAGGGAAUCAAGACUGUGCUUCUUUAAAAGCUUCACUUACUUUUGGGAACAGCAAAAAGUAACCGAUCUUCCAAGUGGUUAACCAAAUCCAUUCUAAUUAUUAGUAACGGAUUACUUGUACGCUAUGGCGUUACAGUCAAUUCACGCACGCAUCGGU